GACGAACGCUGGCGGCGUGCCUAAUACAUGCAAGUCGAGCGCAGGAAACUGACGGAACUCUUCGGAGGGAAGGCAGUGGAAUGAGCGGCGGACGGGCGAGUAACACGUAAGGAACCUGCCUCAAGGAUUGGGAUAACUCCGAGAAAUCGGAGCUAAUACCGGAUAGUUCAACGGACCGCAUGGUCCGCUGAUGAAAGGCGCUCCGGCGUCACCUUGAGAUGGCCUUGCGGUGCAUUAGCUAGUUGGUGGGGUAACGGCCCACCAAGGCGACGGUGCAUAGCCGACCUGGGGGGGUGAUCGGCCAAACUGGGACUGAGACACGGCCCAGACUACUACGGGAGGCAGCAGUAGGGAAUCUUCCACAAUGGACGAAAGUCUGAUGGAGCAACGCCGCGUGAGUGAUGAAGGUUUUCGGAUCGUAAAACUCUGUUGUAAGGGAAGAACACGUACGAGAGGAAAUGCUCGUACCUUGACGGUACCUUACGAGAAAGCCACGGCUAACUACGUGCCAGCAGCCGCCGCCG
rnacentral:rRNA from 1 species